AUUGAACGCUGGCGGCCGGCCUAACACAUGCAAGUCGGGCGAGGGGCGGACGGGUGUGUAAUGUAUGGGGACUGCCUGAUGGGGGGGGAUAAACACUGGAAAAGGUAGCUAAUAACGUAUAACAUAAUAAAACACAUAUGGGAUUAGCUUGUAGGUGAGGUAACGGCUCACCUAGGCGACGAUCCCUAGCUGGUCUGAGAGGAUGAUCAGCCACACUGGGACUGAGACACGGCCCAGACUCCUACGGAGGCAGCAGUGGGGAAUAUUGCACAAUGGGCGCAAGCCUGAUGCAGCCAUGCCGCGUGUAUGAAGAAGGCCUUCGGGUUGUAAAGUACUUUCAGUCGGGAGGCGUUACCGACAGAAGAAGCACCGGCUAACUCCGUGCCAGCAGCCGCGGUAAUUC
rnacentral:rRNA from 1 species